rnacentral:rRNA from 1 species
ACGCUGGCGGCAGGCCUAACACAUGCAAGUCGAGCGGUAGAGAGAAGCUUGCUUCUCUUGAGAGCGGCGGACGGGUGAGUAAUGCCUAGGAAUCUGCCUGGUAGUGGGGGAUAACGUCCGGAAACGGACGCUAAUACCGCAUACGUCCUACGGGAGAAAGCAGGGGACCUUCGGGCCUUGCGCUAUCAGAUGAGCCUAGGUCGGAUUAGCUAGUUGGUGGGGUAAUGGCUCACCAAGGCGACGAUCCGUAACUGGUCUGAGAGGAUGAUCAGUCACACUGGAACUGAGACACGGUCCAGACUCCUACGGGAGGCAGCAGUGGGGAAUAUUGGACAAUGGGCGAAAGCCUGAUCCAGCCAUGCCGCGUGUGUGAAGAAGGUCUUCGGAUUGUAAAGCACUUUAAGUUGGGAGGAAGGGCAGUUACCUAAUACGUGAUUGUUUUGACGUUACCGACAGAAUAAGCACCGGCUAACUCUGUCCCAGCAGCCGCGGUAAUACAGAGGGUGCAAGCGUUAAUCGGAAUUACUGGGCGUAAAGCGCGCGUAGGUGGUUCGUUAAGUUGGAUGUGAAAUCCCCGGGCUCAACCUGGGAACUGCAUUCAAAACUGACGAGCUAGAGUAUGGUAGAGGGUGGUGGAAUUUCCUGUGUAGCGGUGAAAUGCGUAGAUAUAGGAAGGAACACCAGUGGCGAAGGCGACCACCUGGACUGAUACUGACACUGAGGUGCGAAAGCGUGGGGAGCAAAC